GUCCUGACUACUAUUUACUGUGUGUUUAAUCACAGAGGCUUUGGAGGGAGCCGAAUCUGUCUGGAGAAAGCAAAGCUGAAAAAGUAAUGUUAUUUCAUUUUUUAAUGGGUGAGAAGCUAGACAGAGGGGGUGGGGGGAGGCUGGAAAAUCAAACCACAUUUUGGAGGGGGAAGUGAGGCAGAAUAGUCCCAACUUCAUUUUUGUUCAAUAUGUUAAUGCUAAAUGUUUGACAGCCACACAACUUCUUUAGGGAUUACUCUGCUCCCUGUAUUUAGACUGGUCUUAGCACAAAGAAUAAUGUUUAAGAAUAACAGAAACCUUUAAAAUUAUUAAUUGUAAAGCAGACUGAAAUGAAUAAACCUUGUUUUCCCUCCUGUGUACCCAAGGGGUGGUACUGGCACAGUGCAGGAGCUCCUUGUUGGGUCAGGGGGAUGCAGGAGGUGCUGUGGGAACAGAGCAGGCACCCAUAGGUGGUAGCAGCAGUGUGGCUGUGGGGUUGGGAGCAGUGAAGACAUAGUUGGCUUGUGGUGUUAGAAGCUGCAGAGGGGAGGAGGGGAGUGCUGGAGUUGGGUGGGGGGACUGGCAGGUUGCUCACAGCUGCACUUUAUAGGUCCUGCUUGAGAGCAAAUGUAUUUAUUUAGCUGGGGAAAAGGGGGGAGGGUAUGGCCUGCUGGUUACAAAUAGAUUCUGUUGUAUGGGUUUAAGAUGCAGGAAGAAAAUAGACCAGAUGGGUGUUCUGGAUGGGGGGCUCUUAUCUUUUUUCCAUGCCUUGCUGGGGGUUCAGGGCUGUGUGCUACCCUUUAAUUCUGCUGUUCACCUUCAGCACAGCAAGGCAUUGAGGGCUGCACUAAAUAGGUCUGGAGUAAGUGCAGAUGGAGUGGGACAUGAAAAGUACAACUUGUUACUGAAUUACACAGUGCACAAGGACAUCAGAGAACCCUUCAUCACUCAGGAUAUGAUGUUUUGGAAAGGUCAUCUUGUCUCAUGUUGGUCGGAGAAGGUUCAUUUUUUUCUUUGGUGGCAAAGGGUCAUAUAUUACAGGAUCUCUCCAAAUCCCCACGUCACUCAUUGCUGCUUUCCUUUACUUCCAUUAGUGCAGGGGCAUCUAAAUGGUUGUUUAUGCUAUUUCUGUCAUCUAAAAAAAAAUCAACGUGGGUUACUCGCUGACAAGAAAUUAGUUCAUGGCUGUUUAUAAUAUUGUAUUUCUCAUGUAUUUUGCUCUGCAAUGGUGUUGAUCACUCAUCUGUGGCUUUGUUAAGUACCAUUUUGGCAUUGUUAGUAUGAGUUUCACUUAACUGGUGACUCACUCCAGCUGCCUAUUUUACACAAGGAUCAGUCAGUAAACAGGAUCCAAAGUGAUCUCUUCUCUCAUGUACACUUGUCUG
rnacentral:lncRNA from 1 species